rnacentral:rRNA from 1 species
UACGUAGGGGGCAAGCGUUGUCCGGAAUCACUGGGCGUAAAGGGCGCGUAGGCGGCGCGGGAAGUCCGUGGUGAAAUCCCGAGGCUCAACCUCGGGUCUGCAGUCGAUACGGGCAAACUAGAGUAUUGCAGGGGAGACUGGAAUUCCUGGUGUAGCGGUGAAAUGCGCAGAUAUCAGGAGGAACACCGGUGGCGAAGGCGGGUCUCUGGGCAAUAACUGACGCUGAGGAGCGAAAGCGUGGGGAGCGAACAGG